GGAGAGAUGUCUGAGUGGUUUAAAGUACAGGCCUGGAAAGCUUGUGUGUAAGCAAUAUGCACCGAGGGUUCGAAUCCCUCUCUCUCCU
rnacentral:tRNA from 1 species